GAUAAGGGGUAUGUUGUCUGGCUCGGUGCCCCCGGUCGAGGUCGAUAGUCGUCGACUCUCCCUUCGCCGGGAGAAAGACGUACGUGUGCGUCGAUUGAUCGGGGGCGUCGGACCAGGCUUCAUUCCCUUUAAC
rnacentral:pre_miRNA from 1 species